CUCCAAACAGGUGACUCUGCCUUCUCUACCCUUGAAGACAUCCACAAUGUCAAGUUAAAGACUUUCCUCAACCUUCUGUGUUCCAAUCCAUUACAUCAACAGCCCAACUGGCAACAACACUGACUCUUUGCUACCAGGCAACACUCAAUAGGUGGUCUUGGGAAAAGGGAUUAAAGAGAGCACUAGGAGCAUUUCUCCAUGACCACAGACUGCCAGGAGGAAACAUGUUCACACAGUCAUGGGAAGGAACAACUCAAC